ACUGGCGGCUGCCUUUCUUCCCUGGCGGUGUGUGUGUUCUCCGUGUUUCCAGGCGAGCUCCCGUACAAAGGUUGGAAAUAAGAGAUUAAAUGUCUGUCGUCCACGGCAAGGGACUUUG
rnacentral:lncRNA from 1 species